rnacentral:rRNA from 1 species
CGCGUAGGCGGGAUGGCAAGUCGGUCGUGAAAUCCUUCGGCUCAACCGAAGAACGUCGAUCGAUACUGCUGUUCUUGAGGGUUGCAGAGGAGACUGGAAUUCCCGGUGUAGCGGUGAAAUGUGUAGAGAUCGGGAGGAACACCGGUGGCGAAGGCGGGUCUCUGGGCAAUUCCUGACGCUGAGGCGCGAAAGCGUGGGGAGCAAACGGGAUUAGAUACCCCGGUAGUCCACGCUGUAAACGAUGACGACUAGGUGUGGGGGGGUUCAGUCCCCUCUGUGCCGCAGCUAACGCAUUAAGUCGUCCGCCUGGGGAGUACGGCCGCAAGGUUGAA